rnacentral:rRNA from 1 species
UACGAGGGGGCGAGCGUUGUUCGGAAUUAUUGGGCGUAAAGGGUGCGUAGGCGGUUUGGUAAGUCUUGUGUGAAAUCUUCGGGCUCAACUCGAAGUCUGCAUGAGAAACUGCCGGGCUGAGUGUGGGAGAGGUGAGUGGAAUUCCCGGUGUAGCGGUGAAAUGCGCAGAUAUCAGGAGGAACACCGGUGGCGAAGGCGGUUCUCUGGGCAUUACCUGACGCUGAGGAGCGAAAGUGUGGGGAGCGAACAGG